rnacentral:misc_RNA from 1 species
UCUCCGUAGGUGAACCUGCGGAGGGAUCAUUACUGAGUGAGGGCCCCCGGCCCGACCUCCAACCCUUUGUGUAUCUCGACCCUGUUGCCUCGGGGGCGACCCGGCCUUCGGGCGUCGGGGCCCCCGGAGGCCAUUAAACACUGCAUCAUUGCGUCGGAGUUAAAGUAAAUUAAACAAAACUUUCAACAACGGAUCUCUUGGUUCCAGCAUCGAUGAAGAACGCAGC